rnacentral:piRNA from 1 species
UGGGCUGUCAGGCCAGGUCUAACCUGA